rnacentral:lncRNA from 1 species
CACUUCCGUCGAGAUUUUAUUUUUCUCAAGUCAAAAUUUAUCAGAAACAACCUCUUUAUAAAGUCUGCAUGCACACUAUCCUCCUUAUAUAAUUACAAAGUAAAUAUGUUGCAUCGAAAAUUGGGUGGGAAAAAAAAUUAAUGUUGCUUCAAGGUGACUUUCCCAUGUACAAUCUAUUGUUCCGUAGGAAGCUUUAACGUAACUGGUAAAGUUGUUGUUACGUGAUCAAGAGGUCACAAGAGUUCGAAACAUGGAAACGGCCUCGCCUUGUGGUCCGACUCUUCAUUGAACUCCGUGCAUAGCAGUAACUUAGUGCACUCCCCGAAUAGGAAAAAAGGUACAUAGUGGUGCAUCCACAAAACUCUGCUCCGGAUAGUACUUGUUAUUAUUAUUGAAUUAAACGUUCAUCCCUACAAAAGGAGAAUCGGCUGCACGAGGAAAAGAGUCACAGAAGUCCUGCGAAUUUCAAUACAAAGAGGGCCGAGGGGUCAAAAUUAACUUAUUUUUGAACUGGGCCACUCCUCACUACAGAUCAAGCACGUCAGAUUUGAGAUUAAUUCUCUUUUUUGCUUUCGAUUUUCUUGCUCGAUCUACGGUAAUAUCUUCUCCUCAUUUUUCUCUAUUUUUACGUACACGUGUCAUUGCUUUUCUUCAUUUCGACUUUUUAAUUAUAUCCUCAAUUCAUCAAUUUUUUUUUUAAAUUUUAUUACUAUACAAAUUUGAUUUUUGUUUUUUGUUUGUCGACGAGUGUGUUUCGGAAAAUUGUGUUAUGUUGUCUAAUCGCUACUCUAUUAAUUCGACAGUUUGUUCUGCCGCGGCGAGAAUAAUGUGCUAUAAUUACGUAUUAUGCUUUAAUUGCGGGUUGUUUUGCAAUCUAAUUUGGUGAAUUUUGUCCUCUGCUAUGAAUUCUGCAUAAUUUUGGAUUUACGUGGACUAUAUUAGAGUUUGUUCGGUCCAUCCAAUGUGAAUAUGUGAUUGCUGAGAAUUGGGCUUGUUUGAAACUUGAAUAUGCAACGUUAGCUUAAAAGGAUUAAUAAUAUAUACGCGUACAAGUGUUAGCAAUGGUGGGUAGGGAAAGCAAAAUCAGACUGUUAGCAAUGGUGAAUUAUGGAGAACAGUGUUGUCAAAGGCGAAAAAGCGUUAAAAAGCGCACAGGUCUAUCAUGGCUUUAAGCGCAAAGUGCAAUUAAAGUGUGGCCUUUAGUUAAAAAAGGCGCAACGAAGAAAAAAAUAAAGGUAUAUACGUAAUGCAAGAAAAAAAGUAACAAGUUCAUUCAUAAUGAUUUCCUUAAAAAUUAAUAAUAUCUUUUAGCCAAUUAUAUUUAUUGUAUGUACCACUCUAUUCAAAAUAGAACUUAUUGACAAUGAGGCGUGGGUCUUAGAGCUUGCCUACACUAAAGCGCAGUCUAAAUGAGGGGAAGCGCAUACCCUGAGCUUUUUUGAGCUUCAGAGCUUAAGCGCGCCUCAAUGAGCCUUUAACAACACUGACGGAUAGAACAGAAUUAGGUUGUACUUGUGAGUCUGUGAUUAUUUAUUGUGUUUGCUAGCAUGCAAAGCUUUUAACUUUCUUUGCUAUGAUAUCCAUGAGGGGGAAUGGACUGGCAAAUGAUUCUGAAGCAGACAGAGUAAAAGCACAUUGAUAUUUCUUUUGCCAUAGUAUAGUGGAUGAUUCUAUAUCUGGUUUGUGGUUCAAUUGGGAUCUAGAGAAUAUAUAGCAGUCUUUUUACUCUCGUACCUUAGCUGUUUUCUCUUUUUGCUUUUAUAAAAUUUAUUCGUCAGGCUCUUGAACAAGCAGUAUAAAAUAUUGUCAACAACUAGAUAAUGUGGUUCUCAAGGUAGCUUGAAAGACUUAGGUUCACUAAAAUUUCAAUUGUACUUUUCCUGGCUUUGUACCUGUUCACAUGCAAUAGAUGUAUGAGUACAAAGGAUGGACAUCAACACCUUCAGCCUAGGGAUGAUCAGCCAUCUCCAAAGAGGCCCAAUCCCCAGAACAGCUUCUAUUUAUUGAUUUGACAUGACUAGGGCGAUAUGCCACGCUCCUUCCAUAGGGUCUUGAUUUAGUAUUCAGCCAUAAACAUCUUAUUGUUUGAUUUAAUCACGUAAAAUUGUGUUGCUUUACGAAAGUCUAAGAAGAAUCAAAAAUCGAUUUUCAAAAAAAGGGAAGGUUGGAAUAAAAGAUCAUGCCUUAACACGAGGGCUUGGUGAGGCAAAGUCAAUUCCAACUGAGCAGGAAUAGACGAGGCAAAAGAAAACACUGUUCAUAUUGGAGCGAAGCCUGCUCUUAUUAGUAUUUUGGUUAACAGUUUUCAGGUACUCUGUAUUUGUUUCCUUCUUAUUUUAUGACUUCUUUGAAGAUUAUUACUUUCCUUUUAAUUAGUCUAUGAAUUUCCUUUUUUUGUUUAAGUUAGUUUAUUGAGUGGCUAGAUAGGAACCCUAGCUAGCUUAAAAUUAGAGUUAUUAGGGUCCUUUUUUCACAUAUAGGAUUCCUUCAAUUCCUCAUUUCACCACUGUUUCUAAGCCUUUGUUCUUGUGGAAUUGAUGGCCAUGCUUAGCUGGAGGGGAUAAGAAAAUUAAGAAAUGGAAUUCACAUAGCUAAUGGCUUUACCAUCUUUCUUUAUGGUCUGCAGUCUGCAUUGAUUGCUAUCGACUCAAGUUUUCUUCAAGUCUCAUAUACUAACACCCUUCUUACUUUGGGGUUUCCUUAAAUUAAAAUUGCUUAUUUAAUUUCUUAUGUUUACAGGUGGUGGCAUUUCUUUGCAGUCAAGAGAAUAAGUGAAGCUUCCAAGGAUCAUCUCGUAGUUCUCUUCCAUUUUGAAGCUUAGACAUGGCAGAAAAGGCAUGUGUAAAGCGACUCCAGAAGGAAUAUAGAGCAC